AUCGGUCUCCAGUCGUUAUCGGUGUUAUCGAUAGUCUCUCGUGUGACUCUCUGUUGUAGGGUCACUCUCCGCCAAAUCGAUCGGUCUCCAGUUGCUAUCGGUUCCGUGACCCAACGUGGUGUUGCCACUUAAUUUAUCGAUGUUCCACGGUGUGUCUCCCUGUGUCGAUAUUUCCAGUAUUAGUGCCCACCGAUCGACACUAUCGUGCAGCGCUAAUCGGUCAUAAAUCGAAGCGCCCCCAUCCCUUUGGGCAGAUGAGGACAUUUUCUCCGGGUAAGUUUUCUAAUUUCUCCUUUUCUCCUUUCUCUCUGUUCUUUUCUCCUUUUUCAGCGUUCUGGACCUGACGAAGAGGGUGAUUCGCCUUCUCCUGCACCCCCUCCCCCUCCCGGUUGGCCCUCGCAACUUCUCCAUUCCCUUUGCCUGAAGACGAAAAAACUGCCCAACAUUUGGACGACACGUGCUUCGCCUCACCCCCCCUUUUCGGUUGGACCCCUCAUCCCUGUUUCAUAUUUUUACUGUAUUCAUCACACAUUUUUUUCCUUUUUUUUUUUAUGGACAAU